UCUAUCGAACUAACUUUCAACUGUUUAUUUAAGUUUUCUUCUAUUAUCACCGUAUAAACACACACACACACACAUAAUCACCGUGUCGUAUAAAAUUUUAAAAAAAAAUCCAACUAACCUCAACUUCCAGUAGAGCUUUCAGGUUCUCUACCUGGAGUACACACAAUAACAAACAUCUUCAGCAUUAAAAAAAAACUUUAAGAUCCAAAUGUAUCAGCAAAACUUAGGGUUUUAGGCCUGCUAUUAAAAUUAUAUAUAAAAAAUGGAAAAGGAGACUAAUGAGAGUGAAUUAUACAGAUUCAUCACGAUCGACAUCGAGAGUGACGAUUUGUUCGUCAGUUGUCAUUACAGUGAUCUUCAUCUUCCACGAUUCCAGUUAGGAACAGAUGAACAGUUACUUGAAAGGACUUGGAUGUCAAUUCUCCGGCGCUGUUGUCGUUUCUUAUUGCCGAAGAAAUUUCGAACUCCGUUUUGUUAUUCCCAAUAUCCAGCUUUUCGCUGGAGGGAUGAAUUUGAAGGACUGCGUGUACGAUAGUCAAAACAGCUCAUAAGUUAUAAUCGCAUUCAGGAAAUACGAUUUAUAAGUCGCAGUUAAUAAAUGCAUAAGUCACAUUCACUAAUGGAGUCCG
rnacentral:lncRNA from 1 species